CAGCUGCUGGAGAUCUGCAGGACACAGUAAACAAACAUUAACGAUCCAUAUUUUGGAUACGAUCGGGCCCGGGGGCUGAGCCAUUUUUCAUCUACUUCAACGCCCUCAACACCUCUGCAGGUGUUGAGGCUCACGCGAGUGACGUAGGAAGUCAAACAAGAGAAGCAUGAAUAGAUGGCGCCCUCUGCUGUUUAAAAAGAAGUACUG